UACGUAGGGGGCAAGCGUUGUCCGGAUUUAUUGGGCGUAAAGAGCGUGUAGGCGGCCAAACAGGUCAGCUGUGAAAACUCGAGGCUCAACCUCGAGACGUCGGUUGAAACCGUUUGGCUAGAGUCCGGAAGAGGAGAGUGGAAUUCCCGGUGUAGCGGUGAAAUGCGCAGAUAUCGGGAAGAACACCCGUGGCGAAGGCGGCUUCCUGGUCUGCGACUGACGCUGUGGCGCGAAAGCUAGGGGAGCAAACGGG
rnacentral:rRNA from 1 species